CAGUCGCCACGGGAAUACGUAGGGUGCAAGCGUUAAUCGGAAUUACUGGGCGUAAAGCGCACGUAGGCGGCUUUGUAAGUUAGAGGUGAAAGCCUGGUGCUCAACACCAGAACUGCCUUUAUGACUGCAGAGCUAGAACGUCGGAGAGGUGAGUGGAAUUCCGAGUGUAGAGGUGAAAUGCGUAGAGAUCGGGAGGAACAUCAGUGGCGAAGGCGGCCAUCUGGGACAACACUGACGCUGAGGCACGAAAGCGUGGGGAGCAAACAGGAUUAGAUACCCCCGUAGUCCCUGUCUCUUAUAC
rnacentral:rRNA from 1 species